rnacentral:rRNA from 1 species
UACAGAGGUCUCAAGCGUUGUUCGGAUUUACUGGGCGUAAAGCGCACGUAGGCGGAUCGAUCAGUCAGGGGUGAAAUCCCAGAGCUCAACUCUGGAACUGCCUUUGAUACUGUCGAUCUGGAGUAUGGAAGAGGUGAGUGGAAUUCCGAGUGUAGAGGUGAAAUUCGUAGAUAUUCGGAGGAACACCAGUGGCGAAGGCGGCUCACUGGUCCAUUACUGACGCUGAGGUGCGAAAGCGUGGGGAGCAAACAGG